CAGACGUCUGUAAUGGAGGUGGAUCUCUCCUGGGCACACAUUCAGCCCGGCCCGCACAACUUGCCCAAACCUUUACAUCUGAUGCAUUGAGGCUGAAAUUUGAGUGGAAUCCCCUUUGCUUUGAUGCACGAGGUGUCGGGAGAUGCCUGGACUGGCAGCAACAUGACUGGUUGGGACAAGAUUUCUCAUGCACUCCAACUUAACCUCUCUGCAGUGGGCAACAUAUUUCAUUGCAGAGGAAAACAAAUACCUGCAUGGAGAGGUCAUCGGGUUAAAGCACAGCACUGAGAAGCGAAAGCC